GGCACGAUGGCUGAGCGGUCUAAAGCGUGAGACUCGAAUACAAUGGAUUCGUGGUAAUCUUAUCUCUUCGGAGGCGCAGGUUCAAAUCCUGCUCGUGUCG